UAUGACUUGUCUGCCAGAGCAAGGGG
rnacentral:miRNA from 1 species